CCUACGGGAGGCAGCAGUGAGGAAUAUUGGUCAAUGGACGAGAGUCUGAACCAGCCAAGUAGCGUGAAGGAUGACUGCCCUAUGGGUUGUAAACUUCUUUUAUAUGGGAAUAAAAUGUUCCACGUGUGGGAUUUUGUAUGUACCAUAUGAAUAAGGAUCGGCUAACUCCGUGCCAGCAGCCGCGGUAAUACGGAGGAUCCGAGCGUUAUCCGGAUUUAUUGGGGUUAAAGGGAGCGUAGGUGGAUUGUUAAGUCAGUUGUGAAAGUUUGCGGACCAACCGUAAAAUUGCAGUUGAAACUGGCAGUCUUGAGUACAGUAGAGGUGGGCGGAAUUCGUGGUGUAGCGGUGAAAUGCUUAGAUAUCACGAAGAACUCCGAUUGCGAAGGCAGUUCACUGGACUGCAACUGACACUGAGGCUCGAAAGUGUGGGUAUCAAACAGGAUUAGAUACCCGGGUAGUC
rnacentral:rRNA from 1 species